UACGUAGGAGGCGAGCGUUGUCCGGAAUUAUUGGGCGUAAAGAGCUCGUAGGCGGUUUGUCGCGUCUGUCGUGAAAGUCCGGGGCUUAACCCCCGGAUCUGCGGUGGGUACGGGCAGACUAGAGUGCAGUAGGGGAGACUGGAAUUCCUGGUGUAGCGGUGGAAUGCGCAGAUAUCAGGAGGAACACGGAUGGCGAAGGCAGGUCUCUGGGCUGUAACUGACGCUGAGGAGCGAAAGCAUGGGGAGCGAACAGG
rnacentral:rRNA from 1 species